UACGGGGGGAGCAAGCGUUGUUCGGAUUUACUGGGCGUAAAGGGUGUGUAGGCGGUCUACUAAGUCUGGUGUGAAAUCUCCCGGCUCAACUGGGAGGGUGCGCCGGAAACUGGAAGGCUAGAGUGCGGGAUGGGAGAGUGGAAUUCCUGGUGUAGCGGUGAAAUGCGUAGAUAUCAGGAGGAACACCUGUGGUGUAGACGGCUCUCUGGACCGCAACUGACGCUGAGACACGAAAGCGUGGGUAGCAAACAGG
rnacentral:rRNA from 1 species